rnacentral:pre_miRNA from 1 species
AAAAAAAAAAGUUGUGCAGUUGGAACGUUUGCCUACGUUCGCCGCUAGGGGCGCUGUUCCAACUUCAUACAAAUUUGAGUUA